GUAGGUUAUGGUGACAUGAGACCCAUUGGAGUUUUGGGUAAAAUUGUUGGAUCUCUUUGUGCAAUUGCCGGUGUAUUGACCAUUGCUCUCCCAGUUCCAGUUAUUGUUUCCAAU
rfam:Tetranychus urticae London genomic scaffold, scaffold_3